rnacentral:ncRNA from 2 species
CAACGUUCUCAGGGCGGGGCGCAAUUCCCCACCGGCGGUAAUGGCACGCAAUGUGUCUAGCCCGCGAGCGCUUGGCAGGUGAUGAACCUGGCAAGGUCAGCAGACCCGGUGUGAUUCCGGGGCCGACGGUCAUAGUCCGGAUGAAGAGAGAACGGGA